rnacentral:rRNA from 1 species
CUACGGGUCGCACCAGUGAGGAAUAUUGCACAAUGGAGGAAACUCUGAUGCAGCAACGCCGCGUGGAGGAUGACGCAUUUCGGUGUGUAAACUCCUUUUAUAUGUCAAGAAAGUGACGGUAGCAUAUGAAUAAGCACCGGCUAACUCCGUGCCAGCAGCCGCGGUAAUACGGAGGGUGCAAGCGUUACUCGGAAUCACUGGGCGUAAAGGACGCGUAGGCGGGAUAUCAAGUCAGGUGUGAAAUCCUACAGCUUAACUGUAGAACUGCACUUGAAACUGGUAACCUAGAGUAUGGGAGGGGGAGAUGGAAUUAGUGGUGUAGGGGUAAAAUCCGUAGAUAUCACUAGGAAUACCUAAAGCGAAGGCGAUCUCCUGGAACAUAACUGACGCUAAGGCGUGAAAGCGUGGGGAGCAAACAGGAUUAGAUACCCCGGUAGUC